AACAAGGGCGCAGGGCGAAUGCCUUGGCACUGGGAGCCGAUGAAAGACGUGAUAAGCUGCGAUAAGCUUCGGGGAGCUGCAAAUAAGCAUUGAUCCGGAGAUUUCUGAAUGAGGAAACUCACCUGGGUUCAUACUCAGGUACGUUAUACUGAACUUAAAAAUAGGUAUAUCGAGGGAACCGCCUGAACUGAAACAUCUAAGUAGGGCGAGGAAGAGACAUCAAACGAGAUUCCGUAAGUAGUGGCGAGCGAACGC
rnacentral:rRNA from 1 species